rnacentral:lncRNA from 1 species
GAGGAGAGAAGAGAUGGAACAUUGUAGGGAAAUCAGUCUUAACGCAGUAUGGCCUGGUUUUUGAAGCGGCUUAUGUUUAUGUUUUUUGGUGGUGGUUUUAGGGUUAUUGGAGAUCUGAAAGGCGGCAUCAGCGGCUAGUAAGAGAGGAGGGAAAUCGGAGACUGAUUGUGUUGAGGCAAAACGUUUUGGCUGAAACUUGUGCUUAUUACGAUCACUACCAAAACGUUUUCCAGAGAACAUAAAGACGAAGUAAAACCA